UUGGAUUGAAGGGAGCUCUA
rnacentral:ncRNA from 2 species